CUCUGCUGACGAGUCCCAAACAGGACGAAACAGCUGUCCAAUCUUGAG
rnacentral:hammerhead_ribozyme from 1 species